UACAGGGGGUGCAAACGUUGCUCGGAAUUAUUGGGCGUAAAGCGCGCGUAGGCGGCCACUUAAGUCGGAUGUGAAAGCCCCUGGCUCAACUGGGGAAGUGCACCCGAAACUGAGCGGCUUGAAUGCAAAAGAGGGUCGCGGAAUUCCCGGUGUAGAGGUGAAAUUCGUAGAUAUCGGGAGGAACACCGGUGGCGAAGGCGGCAUCCUGGACCAACACUGACGCUGAGUGAGCGAAAGCCAGGGGAGCAAACGGG
rnacentral:rRNA from 1 species